rnacentral:misc_RNA from 1 species
AACGCACGAGACCUGCGGACCUGCGGAGGGAUCAUUACAGAGUUCAUGCCCUCCGGGUAGAUCUCCCACCCACUGCUAUCACUACUCUCGUUGCUUUGGCGGGCCGCUGGGCCCUGCCCGGCCGCCGGCCCCGGCUGGCGCGUGCCCGCCAGAGACCUCACAGACUCUGAAUGUUAGUGUCGUCCGAGUAACUAUACAAUCGUUAAAACUUUUAGCAACGGAUCUCUAGAUCGGAAGAGC